rnacentral:lncRNA from 1 species
UAAUCUCAGACACACAAUUAGGAAUAUAGACCAUUAGCUAAGAGAGUUAGAAAUAAUCCUUUUUUAGAUCUAGAAAACAAGAACAAAGAAAGGGAAAGAGGAUUCAAGUUUUCUCUACCUCUGCUUUUCGGCUUCAUCUCUCUGGAUCUAAGAAGCUGGUUGAUUGUUCAAAUUGUUGUUUUAUUGCUGAGAUUACCGCCAAGCUGUUUGGAUUGAUUUUAGGUCUUCAUUUGGGCUCACUUUAACGGCGUUACUUUGUAAAACUAGGUAAGUUUCGAG